rnacentral:rRNA from 1 species
UACGGGGGGAGCAAGCGUUGUUCGGAUUUACUGGGCGUAAAGGGCGCGUAGGCGGCGCAACAAGUCACUUGUGAAAUCUCCGGGCUUAACCCGGAGCGGUCAAGUGAUACUGUCGUGCUAGAGUGCGGAAGGGGCUACUGGAAUUCUCGGUGUAGCGGUGAAAUGCGUAGAUAUCUGGAGGAACACCGGUGGCGAAGGCGGCAUCCUGGACCAAUUCUGACGCUGACGUGAGCGAAAAGCCAGGGGAGCCAAACGGG